UUGAGCUAAGGGGUUGUGAUGUAAAGGGGAGACCCCAUAUCUUACAACUCUCCGGCUCAAACCCAUUCACGAUUUCAUGGUCCAGAAUUCUGUCCUCUCCCACCCUUCACUCUUCAAAAUUUCAAAUCUCGCCGCCGAGACUCAGCGGCAGCAAACUUGCACUGGACGAGAAGCCGGAGGAUUUCGACUGCGAAGCUAGGGUUCCUGCUCUCGUGUUUUCGAGUUUUUCUCCUGUUCGCCGUUCUCAUCUGAUCUGAGUUUAUUGCUGUUUGCUAUGUGUUGGCUGCAAAUGAAAACCUAAGUCUAGGCGAACAAGGCGGUUGUUAGGUUUUGAGCUAUGCCAGGUGGACGAAAAAGCUGCAAUGGGGUGGUGAACUCAGGUGAGUUGGGCGCUGAUGCGCUUAUCACUUACAGCAGGAAGAAGCGGACCAGAGCAGUUGACGAUGAGUCUAUGAAGGAAUCUCUUGAUAGCACCUAUGAGCAUGAUGUGUUUUCUAGAGUUGGCAGUCACUGGAGAAAUACUUUGGAAUGCAUGCUUCAUCUUCCAGGUGUCGGUGAAGGUGGUGGUAUCAAGAGCUCUAUCCUUGAUGCACUUGAAUCCUGCCCUCCUAGCUUCACCAAGAAGACUAAAAUGAAGGAUAGAUAUACGGGCAACUGUGAAAUUGAGGAUCCACCUGAAAUUAAGGAUGUCCUUCCUGCAUCAGCAGCAGAUGUAUCGAAUAUAAAGUUAGAGGGUCAGCCGGAUAUGAACAAGAGCACUGAAAAGUGUCAAAAGGUUUUGCGGGAAAUUUUUUGUUCAGAGAAUUUUGCUUCCUUGUGUGAUCUAGUAUGUGAAAGUUUUCAGAAUAAAACUGUCAGAAAAUUACUUGACUUCAGCCUGAUAAAUUCAAAUUUGAAAAAUGGAGUAUAUGAACAGUUGCCAGUUUCAUUUCAUGAAGACAUUCAACAGUUGUGGUGCAAGUUUCAAAAAAUUGGUCAAGACAUCCUGCUUCUUUCUAACAGCCUUUCCAAACAGUCCAGGAUUUACUAUGGAAAGCAGGUUGGAGAAAAGCUGGAAUUGGAGGCUAGUGAAGAAAAGUUUGAGGAGAACAUCGAAGGUGUUGCUGAGCUGAAGAACUCCAUGAACUCUUAUGUCAAUGGACAGUUCCCUUUGAGUGAAUCUGGUCGGUCUAAUAAAUUGGAUCAAAGUGAAGCAUCUUGUCUGUGUAAAACCUAUGCUUGUAAGCAGUGUGGCAUUGAAACAGUCGGUGAACACAGGCUUAUAUGUGAUGGCUGUGAAGCAAUAUACCAUUUCUCUUGUGUUGAGCCUUUUAGCCAAGCAGUCCCUUCUCGAACCUGGUACUGUUCUUCUUGUCAUAAAGAUGAAAGCAAAUCACCAGCAGCUGUCAGGGAUAAUCAACUUAAAGGUUUGCACAAAAAUUGGGCCAUCUCUGAUAGGCCUGAAGGUUCUAUGGCGGAGAAAAACAUCAUUAAUAACUUUAAAGAAUGUCAUUGUUUGAAUAAACCAUGUCAAAGUGAGGCCUCUUGUCGGCACAAGGUCCAUACAUGCAAGCACUGCAGCACUGAAGCAAUUGGCGAACACAGCCUUAUAUGUGAUGGAUGUGAGGAAAUUUACCACUUCUCUUGUGUUGAGCCCUUUGGUGAAGAGAUCCCCACUCGAAACUGGUAUUGUGCUUCCUGCCGUGCCGACAGAAAUGAAGCACCGGAACCUGUUAUAGAGAUUGAACAAGAUGGCUUGCACCAGAACUGUUCAGUAUGUGAUAGGCUUGAAUUUUCUGAGGUUGAGAAAGACAUUACUAAUGAUACCAGGGAGAGCUCUGUUUCGAGCAUGGAAUCAGAUGGCCCUCCAGAACCAUCAAGAACUGCCCUGUCACAUUUGUGCAAGCUAUGUGGAACCUGUGAGGACGAGGACAGGAGAUUCCUGACUUGUGGGAACAAUUACUGCCCUUACAAGUACUACCACAUCAGAUGCCUAAGAAACAGCCAGAUUGCUAGUCAGCAUCAGCAAAACAGGCGUUGCUGGUAUUGCCCAUCAUGCCUAUGUAGAGGUUGUCAUUUAGAUCAAGAUGAUUCUGAGAUCGUACUAUGUGAUGGUUGUGAUGAUGCUUACCAUACUUAUUGCAUGAAACCACCCAGAACAUCAGUUCCUAAGGGCCAGUGGUACUGUGUCCAGUGCAACUUGGCUAGGGCCAAGGAAGGAAUACGAAGGCACGAGCAAUGGAUUUUGCAGCAGCAUUGCAAGAAGGACACCUUUCAAACUGUUGAAAAUAAUCGUCCAUUGGAUAUAUUGCUGAAUGCUGUUGAGAAGGUGAGUUCUGAGAAUUGAUGGGCGUAAGGACUAUAUAAACAAGUGUUCACUUGAACUAUGGCCAUGGCCUUGUGAUGAAUUUCUUGCUGGACAUUUUUAUGUGGACAUGGACCGGAAUGCAGCAGGCCCAGACGGCGCGGUCUGAUUCGACUUGUGUGUGGCUUGGAGAACCAAAAGAAUCUAACUUGUUUGAGAAGAUUGUAUUGUUUUUUGUAGUGCAUAACCCUGUUAACCAUCCUCUUUUCAAGGUCACAUCUGUUUCGUCGAUCUUUGCCUUUUGUUCUGGAAGUAAUUAUUUGCUCUACUGGUAGAUAGAUUGCAACUA